rnacentral:rRNA from 1 species
GAUGAACGCUAGCGGCAGGCUUAACACAUGCAAGUCGAGGGGUAUAGUAGCAAUACUAGAGACCGGCGCACGGGUGCGUAACGCGUAUGCAAUCUACCUUUUACAGAGGGAUAGCCCAGAGAAAUUUGGAUUAAUACCUCAUAGCAUUGCGAAAUGGCAUCAUUUUGCAAUUAAAGUCACAACGGUAAAAGAUGAGCAUGCGUCCCAUUAGCUAGUUGGUAAGGUAACGGCUUACCAAGGCAACGAUGGGUAGGGGUCCUGAGAGGGAGAUCCCCCACACUGGUACUGAGACACGGACCAGACUCCUACGGGAGGCAGCAGUGAGGAAUAUUGGACAAUGGGCGCAAGCCUGAUCCAGCCAUGCCGCGUGCAGGAAGACGGUCCUAUGGAUUGUAAACUGCUUUUGUACAGGAAGAAACACUCCCUCGUGAGGGAGCUUGACGGUACUGUAAGAAUAAGGAUCGGCUAACUCCGUGCCAGCAGCCG